rnacentral:lncRNA from 1 species
CAGGAGCAAAAAGGGAUUCUUGAUCAAAACCCUAAAUCACAAGAAAUUCAGCCAAAUCAAGGGAAAUGAAGCUAGGAAAUUGGGGCUUUAACUAAAAUCAUGAUCACCCAGCUUAGGGGAUCACAAGGUAGGAGCUUGGAAAGGAACGGGUCAAACAGAUCAUGGAUGCGAAGAAUGUUUGCGCGGACGCGAGGUAAGUAAAGCU